rnacentral:rRNA from 1 species
UUUUCCUACGGGGCGCAGCAGUGAGGAAUAUUGGUCAAUGGGAGAGAUCCUGAACCAGCCAAGCCGCGUGAGGGAAGACGGCCCUAUGGGUUGUAAACCUCUUUUGUCGGAGAACAAAACCCGGGACGUGUCCCGGACUACGUGUAUCCGAAGAAAAAGCAUCGGCUAACUUCGUGCCAGCAGCCGCGGUAAUACGGAGGAUGCGAGCGUCAUCCGGAUUUAUUGGGUUUAAAGGGUGCGCAGGCGGAGGUGCAAGUCAGCGGUCAAAUUGCGGGGCUCAACCCCGUACUGCCGUUGACACUGCC